UGUUCGUCCGAUUCCUGUCUACCUAAAAAUAUGCUAGACAGAUCGUUGUUAGAACCGACGAACAAAAGUUAAACUUAAAUUUUACUCUUACCUUUCCUACUCGAAGAAUAGUGGUUGUAAGAGGUCGAUCCACAGGGAGGCGAUUGGAGUUGCUUAAAAAUUAGAACGUUCACUCGGAUUCAAAAUCGAUUUUUGAAUAACUAAAGAAAAACAUU
rnacentral:lncRNA from 1 species